rnacentral:rRNA from 1 species
GAUGAACGCUGGCGGCGUGCCUAAUACAUGCAAGUCGAGCGAACGGACGAGAAGCUUGCUUCUCUGAUGUUAGCGGCGGACGGGUGAGUAACACGUGGAUAACCUACCUAUAAGACUGGGAUAACUUCGGGAAACCGGAGCUAAUACCGGAUAAUAUUUUGAACCGCAUGGUUCAAAAGUGAAAGACGGUCUUGCUGUCACUUAUAGAUGGAUCCGCGCUGCAUUAGCUAGUUGGUAAGGUAACGGCUUACCAAGGCAACGAUGCAUAGCCGACCUGAGAGGGUGAUCGGCCACACUGGAACUGAGACACGGUCCAGACUCCUACGGGAGGCAGCAGUAGGGAAUCUUCCGCAAUGGGCGAAAGCCUGACGGAGCAACGCCGCGUGAGUGAUGAAGGUCUUCGGAUCGUAAAACUCUGUUAUUAGGGAGGAACAUAUGUGUAAGUAACUGUGCACAUCUUGACGGUACCUAAUCAGAAAGCCACGGCUAACUACGUGCCAGCAGCCGCGGUAAUACGUAGGUGGCAAGCGUUAUCCGGAAUUAUUGGGCGUAAAGCGCGCGUAGGCGGUUUUUUAAGUCUGAUGUGAAAGCCCACGGCUCAACCGUGGAGGGUCAUUGGAAACUGGAAAACUUGAGUGCAGAAGAGGAAAGUGGAAUUCCAUGUGUAGCGGUGAAAUGCGCAGAGAUAUGGAGGAACACCAGUGGCGAAGGCGACUUUCUGGUCUGUAACUGACGCUGAUGUGCGAAAGCGUGGGGAUCAAACAGGAUUAGAUACCCUGGUAGUCCACGCCGUAAACGAUGAGUGCUAAGUGUUAGGGGGUUUCCGCCCCUUAGUGCUGCAGCUAACGCAUUAAGCACUCCGCCUGGGGAGUACGACCGCAAGGUUGAAACUCAAAGGAAUUGACGGGGACCCGCACAAGCGGUGGAGCAUGUGGUUUAAUUCGAAGCAACGCGAAGAACCUUACCAAAUCUUGACAUCCUUUGACAACUCUAGAGAUAGAGCCUUCCCCUUCGGGGGACAAAGUGACAGGUGGUGCAUGGUUGUCGUCAGCUCGUGUCGUGAGAUGUUGGGUUAAGUCCCGCAACGAGCGCAACCCUUAAGCUUAGUUGCCAUCAUUAAGUUGGGCACUCUAAGUUGACUGCCGGUGACAAACCGGAGGAAGGUGGGGAUGACGUCAAAUCAUCAUGCCCCUUAUGAUUUGGGCUACACACGUGCUACAAUGGACAAUACAAAGGGCAGCGAAACCGCGAGGUCAAGCAAAUCCCAUAAAGUUGUUCUCAGUUCGGAUUGUAGUCUGCAACUCGACUACAUGAAGCUGGAAUCGCUAGUAAUCGUAGAUCAGCAUGCUACGGUGAAUACGUUCCCGGGUCU